ACGCUAUCCGCUAACCGGUCUAGCCGUAAACGGAAGGUUUCCUGCACUAACAUGGGUGAAGCACCCAAUUAUGGUGAGGCG
rfam:Basilea psittacipulmonis DSM 24701, complete genome.